CAGCCAGCAUGGCCGGCAGGAGCGCACCGCGCUGUCUCCCUCCAGGGAUCCGCACCGCCCUACAAUCCUGCUUUGUGCUGAGAUUGUAGUCCUGCAGGCGUACAACUAACAAGCUGGGUGCAGAUAAGAGACUACAGCUCCCCGCAUCCCAAGCAAAGGUCCCUCCUCUACGGAGCCCCUCCACGCGUCCACUGCGGUUCCGCCGUGCCAAGGGGAGCUUGGCUGUUCACGGGCCUCACCUGCUAGCGAGAAGAUAGCUUGGCCGGGCGGCUGAUCUCACCUUGUAAUUCUGACACUGUGUCUCCCGGGCUUGUCGGCUUCAUGACUUGUGCCCAAAGUUUGAUUUCUCGCAGACCAGGAGGACCCAUUGGACCCCCGGGCUGGCUGCAGGGCCCACACCUGGGUUAGACCUCGCACAGGGACGCUGCUGCCACUGUAAUAAAGCGUGCCUACACGCUUCUGAAACUGGUGUAGGAACAACCUCAGUUCUGUGAAAGGCGGACGCAGCAGGACAGAAUCUCCGUGGACAUCUGUCUGGAGGAGCAAUUUUACUGCGACAUUUUAAAGAAACAAAUUUAAUUGAUUUCCAAGGGUGUCCAUCGCGCUUCCUUCACUGCCUUGAUCAUGUCGGGGUCACCACCUGCGGGGGUUUGUCCUGCAGACCCUGACUCAACGACGGAUGAAUAAUGUACACUGACACAGAUCUUAUGCUUGUCAGUCCUGCUGAGCAUCCAGGCCACUUACAGACUCCAAGAAGAGUCCUGUCAGCCACGGCUCUGACUUGUUGGCCCUCCCGGCAUUUAUUUAGCACACAUUUAAUGACAGAAGUCUCAGGCUGGAAACACUCUUUUUGUAGAACAUACAAAUGGACAUUUCUAAGCACAUUGAGGCCUAUAAUGAAAAAUCAAAUAUCCCACAAUGAAAACUAGAAGGAAGCUAUCUGUGAUAAUGCUUUGUGGUGUAUGGAUUCAUCUCACUGACUGAAACCUGAGUUUUGAUUCACCAGGUUAAAAACACUAUUUUUGUAGACUCUACGAAGAAACAUUUCUGAAACCAUUGAAACCUAUGGGGGAAAAAAACCCCCGAAAUUCCUGUGAUAAGAAAUGGAAAGCAGCUAUCUGUGAAAAUGCUUUGUAAUGUGUGGAUUCUUCUCACAGAGUUAAACCUUUGUUCUGAUUCAACAUUGUUCAGAACACUCUUUUUGUAGAAUCUACAGAGAUACUUUUUAGCAUUUUGAGGCCUCUAGUGAAAAACCGAAUGUCCUGCAAUAGAAACUGGAAACAACCUUCUGUGAAAAUGCUUUGUGAUUCGUCUAUUCAUCUCAAAGAAUGAAACUUGUGCUUUGAUUCAACAGGUUGGAAAACCCUUUUUGUAGAAUCUACGUAGGAACAUUUCUGAGCCCAUUGAGGCCUCUAGUGAAAAAACUGAAUAUCCCAGAAUUAAAACUAUAAACAAGCUAUCUGUGAAGAAGCUUUGUAAUAUGUGCAUUCAUCUAACAGAUAUAAGCGUGUAUUUUGAUUUGCCUGGUUGGGAACACUCUUUUUGUACAGUCUAUAAAGAAACAUUUCUGAGUGCAUUGAGUCAUAUGUUGAAAAAUCGAAUAUCUCGUGAUAAAAACUAGGCAGGAGGUAUCUGUGAAAAUGCUUUGAGAUGUGUGGGUAUUGGCCUCACAGAGUUAAACUUUUGUUUUGAUUCAACAGUUUGGAAACAUACUUUGUAGAAUCUACAAUGACAUAUUUCUGAGCCCAUUGAGGCCUGUAGUGAAAAACCGAAUAUCCCAUGAUAAAAACUCAAAACAAGCGAUAUGUGAAAAUGCUUUGUGACGUGUGGUUCAUCUCAUAGAGUUAAACCUGGUUUUGAUCCACUACAUUGGAAACACUCUUAUUGUAGAAUCUACAAAAAAAAAUUUCUGAGACCAUUGAGGUCUCUAGUGAAAAACUGAAUAUCCCAUGAUAAAAACUAGAUACAAGCUAUCUGUGAAAAUGCUUUGCAAUGUGUGGAUUUGUCUCACAAAGUUAAACCUGUGUUUGAUUCAACGGGUUGGAAACACUUUUUUUGUAGAAUCUAUGAAGAAACAUUUCUGAGACCAUUGAAGCCUAUAGUAAAAAAUUGAAUAUCCUGUGAUAUAAAUGAGAAACAAGUUAUCUACGAAAAUGUAUAUUAAUCUCACUGAAUGCAACCUGUGUUUUACUUCACCAGGUUAAAGAUGCUCUGUUGGUAAAAUCUGUGAAGGGACAUUUCUGAGCACAUUGAGGCCUAUAGUGAAAAAACGAAUAUCCUGCUAUAAAAACUAGAAACAAGCUAUGUGUGAAAAUGCUUUGCAAUGUGUGGAUUCACCUCACAGAUUUAAACCUUUGUUUUGUUUCAACAGGUUGGAAACACUCUUUUUGUAGUUGAACGAAGGGACAUUUUUGAGUCCCUUGAGGCCUAUAGUAAUGAACAGAAUAUCCUGCAAUAAAAAUUAGAAAGAAGUUAUCUGGGAA
rnacentral:lncRNA from 1 species